GGGCUGUUCGCGUAGGAACAAAGCGCGCGGACGAGGCCGAGAGGUGAUGGCGAGGGCCUUCGGGCCUGAGUGAUUGAUCCCAUGCUUCCGAGAAAAGCCGCGGGCCGUGUUGAUCGUGUGUGAACCGUACCGGAAACCGACUCAGGUGGGCGGGUGGAGAACACCAAGGCGAUCGAGAGAACCCUGGUUAAGGAACUAGGCAAAUUGACACCGUAACUUCGGGAUAAGGUGUGCCCUUGUGGUUGAGGUCCCUUGCGGACGCAGGCUACGGGGGUUGCAACAAAGCGGUGGUAGCGACUGUUUACCAAAAACACAGGACUCUGCGAACGCGUAAGCGGACGUAUAGGGUCUGACGCCUGCCCGGUGCCGGAAGGUUAAGGGGAGUUGUUCGGGCAACCAAAGCAGCGAACCGAAGCCCCGGUAAACGGCGGCCGUAACAAUAACGGUCCUAAGGUAGCGAAAUUCCUUGUCGGGUAAGUUCCGACCUGCACGAGGGCGUAACGACUUCCACGCUGUCUCGACCAGGGACUCGGCGAAAUUGACAUUGGGGUGAAGAUGCCCCAUACCCGCAGCAAGACGGAAAGACCCUGUGAACCUUUACUGUAGCUUGCCAGUGACAUUCGACUCAAGCUGUGUAGGAUAGGUGGGAGCCUUUGAAACCGGGUCGCCAGAUCUGGUGGAGGCAACGUUGAAAUACCACCCUGUUUGAUUUGGAUGUCUAACCCCUUCGGGGGGACACUGGCUGGUAGGCAGUUUGACUGGGGCGGUCGCCUCCCAAAGUGUAACGGAGGCGCACAAAGGUUCCCUCAGGCCGAACGGAAACCGGUCGCAGAGUGCAAUGGCACAAGGGAGCUUGACUGCGAGACCGACAGGUCGAGCAGGUGCGAAAGCAGGUCAUAGUGAUCCGGUGGUUCCAGAUGGAAGGGCCAUCGCUCAACGGAUAAAAGGUACUCCGGGGAUAACAGGCUUAUCACGCCCAAGAGUUCAUAUCGACGGCGUGGUUUGGCACCUCGAUGUCGGCUCAUCGCAUCCUGGGGCUGGAGCAGGUCCCAAGGGUAUGGCUGUUCGCCAUUUAAAGCGGUACGCGAGCUGGGUUCAGAACGUCGUGAGACAGUUCGGUCCCUAUCUGCUGUGGGCGUCGGAGUGUUGAGAGGAGCUGUCCUUAGUACGAGAGGACCGGGAUGGACGCACCUCUGGUGUUUCGGUUGUCGCGCCAGCGGCACUGCCGAGUAGCCACGUGCGGACGGGAUAACCGCUGAAAGCAUCUAAGCGGGAAGCCCCCCUCAAGAUAAGCACUCCCUGAAGGGUCCGGGAAGACUACCCGGUUGAUAGGCGCGAGGUGCAAGCGCAGCAAUGCGUUCAGCUAACGCGUACUAAUCGCCCGAUCGG
rnacentral:rRNA from 1 species